rnacentral:rRNA from 1 species
CCUACGGGUGGCAGCAGUGAGGAAUAUUGGUCAAUGGGCGCGAGCCUGAACCAGCCAAGUCGCGUGAGGGAAGACGGUCCUAUGGAUUGUAAACCUCUUUUGUCGGGGAGCAAAAGACGACACGCGUGGCGUUCCGAGAGUACCCGAAGAAAAAGCAUCGGCUAACUCCGUGACAGCAGCCGCGGUAAUCCGGAGUAUGCGAGCGUUAUCCGGAUUUAUUGGGUUUAAAGGGUGCGCAGGCGGAAGAUCAAGGCAGCGGGAAAAGUGCGAGGCUCACCCUAUUCGAGCCGUUGAGACUGGUUUGCUUGAGUGAGCGAGAGGUAUGCGGAAUGCGUGGUGUAGCGGUGAAAUGCAUAGAUAUCACGAAGAACUCCGAUGGCGAAGGCAGCAUACCGGCGCUUAACUGACGCUCAUGCACGAAAGUGUGGGUAGCGAACAGGAUUAGAUACCCCUGUAGUC